CCCUUAGAUGUUCUGGGCCGCACGCGCGCUACACUGACGAAUGCAACGAGCUUAUAACCUUGGCCGAAAGGUCUGGGUAAUCUCCAAAUUUCGUCGUGAUGGGGAUAGAUUAUUGCAAUUAUUAAUCUUCAACGAGGAAUGCCUAGUAAGCGCAAGUCAUCAGCUUGCGUUGAUUACGUCCCUGCCCUUUGUACACACCGCCCGUCGCUACUACCGAUUGAAUGGUCCGGUGAAAUCUCGGGACGGCGGCUUGGUCGCUUGCGUCCGACUGCUGAAACUUGAUUAAACCAUAUCAUUUAGAGGAAGGUGAAGUCGUAACA
rnacentral:rRNA from 1 species